rnacentral:misc_RNA from 1 species
GAGACAGUUGCUUCACAUUUUUUUUUCCGUAUUCACUUCCUCAACCACAGUCCACAGCCAAUCCUCAGGCCCCAGCGCAGCCGCCAUCUAUCGUGCUGCCAUCGGCACGCACACGCACAAUCAUCAUCCAUUUCUUAUCCACCUCAUCCCACCACCAGCCACAUGUCUCCGGCCACGCGACGCCCUCCAGCCCCACCGCCGUGCGAUCUGGCGGUCUCCCGAUCCCGUCCGUCCGCUCCCCACCCCCAAAGCCCUCCUCUUCCUCGUCCCCCCAGACCUCACCUCCCUAGUCCCGUCCCGAUUCCCGAACAAGAGCGAGGCCGCACUCCCCCACGAGUCCACUCUCCGACCGCACGCUCCGCGACGCGAUGGCCGCGCUCCGCCUCGCCUCCUUCACCCUCCGCCCCGCCGCCGCCGCCGCCGCCUCUUCCGGCGCGACUCCAUCGGCUCCCCGGUCCGCCUCUUUCUCCAGCGUGGCGCGGGGGCUCCCCUCCCUCCGCCUGGCCCCGCCCCGCCGCCGCCGCGGGGACCUCGCCAGGCCCCGCGCCGCGGCCGAGGCCGCGGCGGAGAGCUACGCGUCCGCGCUGUCGGAGGUGGCCGUCGAGAACGGCACCCUCGAGCAGACGGUCUCCGACCUCGAGAAGCUGGAGAAGAUCUUCGCCGACGAGGCCGUCGCCGAGUUCUUCGACAACCCCACCGUCCCGCGCGAGGAGAAGGCCGAGCUCAUCGGCGAGAUCGCCAAGUCGUCCGAGCUGCAGCCGCACGUCGUCAACUUCCUCAACGUCGUCGUCGACAACUUCCGCGCGUCCAUCGUGCCGCAGAUCGUCGUCGAGUUCGAGAACGUCUACAACUCGCUCACCGGCACCGAGGUCGCCACCGUCACCUCCGUCGUGCAGCUCGAGUCGCAGGACCUCGCGCAGAUCGCGCAGCACGUCCAGAAGAUGACCGGCGCCAAGAACGUCCGCCUCAAGACGCAGCUCGACCCGGCGCUCAUCGCCGGCUUCACCGUGCAGUACGGCCGCGACGGCUCCAACUUGAUCGACAUGAGCGUCCGGAAGCAGAUCGAGGAGAUCGCGUCCGAGUUCGAGUUGCCCGCCGUCCCGCUCGAAGUCUGAGGCCGGCUUGAGGCGUCCAUCCUCGCCCUCGAAGCUAUAGCUGCUACUGUCUCAAGGAACCAAGCGGGAAUGUUGGCCCUGUCCCCUUCAGUCACUCAGACCUGCGGAUCAACGGUGGUGGCUCCAAAUCUCCGAUACAUAUAUGAACGGACCCUAUUUUUGUGCGUUUCGGUUGGCGGGAACCUCUGUAGUUCUUUCUCCUUUUUUUUCCUGUGGUUGACAGACACAGACAGACACUGUAAUAUGUUUUAAAACACUCAUCUAUAUAGCUGAGUGUGCACCUCUUCUCUCAAUCGUAUAUACAAGCUGAGAUAGAGUCAUGGGAUGA